rnacentral:rRNA from 1 species
CGGACGGGUGAGUAACGCGUGGGCAACCUGCCUUACACAGGGGGAUAACACUUAGAAAUAGGUGCUAAAACCGCAUAAGCGCACAGCUUCGCAUGAAGCGGUGUGAAAAACUCUGGUGGUAUACGAUGGUUCCGCGUCUGAUUAGCUAGUUGGUGGGGUAAUGGCCUACCAAGGCAACGAUCAGUAGCCGGCCUGAGAGGGUGAACGGCCACAUUGGGACUGAGACACGGCCCAAACUCCUACGGAAGGCAGCAG